CAGGAAAAAGGGAAAACUGUAUGAGGACGAAUAAGAUCUAAUUUACUUUCUCUGAACAUUUUCCUUUUGUGUUUUGACUGGAAACGGCAUUGAAACUGAUAUAAUGUAAUUCAUGACAUGUUUAACAAAUGCUGUGGGAGAAAAGUAUAAACAGACAAGAUUACUUUUCACCUACUCUAAAGCAAAGAACAAAGUUAUAUAUGGGAAUUGCAAAGCCAAUCGACAAACAGAUGUGAUAAUCUUUAGUUACCGGUGGCAUUAAUAUCAAGGUUUUGGUUUGCCCAGUACUUUCAGGACCUCUGCAUUUGUGGGGUUUUGACCCAACGCCCUCAUGACUUCACCACACUGGGCAUAGGUGAUCUUCAUUUCACCGGUCGGUGUUCUGUCAAACAGCAAGAAUGCCUCCUUAAAUUCUGUGGAGAAUAUGAUACGGUAAUACAUGACAACUGCAGCCCGUUCUUGUUUUGUUAACCCCUGGAGUCAGUCAUUCAGGCGCCUGAGAAUGCCACCCAGUAACAACAGUUUAAUGAAUGGAGAAACUCCACCUGUUCAUUCAGCCUUCAAAAACUCUCUGCCCAAGACAAAAGGACUGAACUGUGGUUUUAACAAGAUGUCAGUACAGGUUCUUGUGGAGGCCUGUAUAUACAUUUUCCCCUCAACACUCUGGCAGUCACUUUGACACUGGUGCAAAUCCCAGACACCUGUCAUGAAUCAUGCAAUCAUCAGCAAGACCGGUUUAUUCUCCUAUCACUCAUCCAGUAUCUGUCGACGACCAGAGAGUCCGGUGGAUCCAAAACCAUGGCUGUGACAAGGGAUCCCCUCUUCUUGCUGUGAUUUCCUCUGCUCUAUCUAGAAGGUCUUCCUCUGUCGAAGUACAUCUCCCAGACCCAGAGAUGCAGGGCUGUUGGGAGUGUCUGGUUUCAUGUUGUUAAGCCUAUGAACUCUCACUGACAGUGUGACACUGAAGUGUUUCCAGUAUGUAGAAUCUACAAGCUGAAAUUCUGUCUUCUGUUGUGCUCCAUAUGAGGGCAGUAUUAGCAAAUCGAUGGAGCUUCUGAAAAGUAAGGACUAAAAAAGAUUCAAGGAACGAAAAAGAACAAAUGUUUUUUUGCAGAACAAACCAAAAACGGGAAUUAAGUGAUUUUCAGUUGUUCCGGAGAGAAAACUUUAUUUUUAAAUGCUGGUAACCGAUUAUAACAGCUAAUUUAGUUCUGACAAUUUUUUUCAUUAAAACCAAAGGCCAAAGGAUUAUCACAGUAAAGUUUUGGAAAUGUGCUUUGAUCCUGAAGGAAACUGCUGUAUCACAUCUUUUUGCCAAACUGCCCAUUGUGGUUGACGCAUUUUGUGAAUACAUUUUCUUUUUUAUUUAAUUUUCUAUUGUACUUUUAACACAUUACAAGGCAUUACAACUCAUGACAUAAGACUAUAUGACAAGCACAUACAAAU